rnacentral:rRNA from 1 species
CCUACGGGAGGCUGCAGUGGGGAAUAUUGCACAAUGGGGGAAACCCUGAUGCAGCGACGCCGCGUGAAGGAAGAAGUAUUUCGGUAUGUAAACUUCUAUCAGCAGGGAAGAAAAUGACGGUACCUGACUAAGAAGCCCCGGCUAACUACGGGCCAGCAGCCGCGGUAAUACGUAGGGGGCAAGCGUUAUCCGGAUUUACUGGGUGUAAAGGGAGCGUAGGCGGGUUAGCAAGUCAGAAGUGAAAGCCCGGGGCUCAACUCCGGGACUGCUUUUGAAACUGUUGAACUUGAGUGCAGGAGAGGUAAGUGGAAUUCCUGGUGUAGCGGUGAAAUGCGUAGAUAUUAGGAAGAACACCAGUGGCGAAGGCGGAUUACUGGACUGUAAAUGACGCUGAGGCUCGAAAGCGUGGGGAGCAAACAGGGUUAGAUACCCGAGUAGUC